CACACUUCCAGGAAGUACAGCCAACAGGGUAGAAAGAACGGGUCUGUAGCCCUGCUCUCCAAUUCAAAACCUUCACAACUUUAUUUAACCAAUGCAGAAAACACACUUCUCUAUGGGGACAGAGUGGGCAUUGGGCUCAGGACUAAAUCUACCUGGAAAGGGAGUAAUAAGAGAGGGUGAGCUACUACAACACCAGUGGUAGAGGGGAAGGAAGAAGGAAAGAACUGGAGGACUGUCAACACUGGGGAGAGGGGAAGGAAGAAGGAGAGAACUGGAGGACUGUCGACACUGGGGAGAGGGGAAGGAAGAAGGAGAGAACUGGAGGACUGUCGACACUGGGGAGAGGGGAAGGAAGAAGGAGAGAACUGGAGGACUGUCGACACUGGGAGAGGGGAAGGAAGAAGGAGAGAACUGGAGGACUGUCGACACUGGGGAGAGGGGAAGGAAGAAGGAGAGAACUGGAGGGCUGUCGACACUGGGGAGAGGGGAAGGAAGAAGGAGAGAACUGGAGGACUGUCGACACUGGGAGAGGGGAAGGAAGAAGGAGAGAACUGGAGGACUGUCGAUACUGGGGAGAGGGGAAGGAAGAAGGAGAGAACUGGAGGACUGUCGACACUGGGGAGAGGGGAAGGAAGAAGGAGAGAACUGGAGGACUGUCGACACUGGGGAGAGGGGAAGGAAGAAGGAGAGAACUGGAGGACUGUCAACACUGGGAGAGGGGAAGGAAGAAGGAGAGAACUGGAGGACUGUCGACACUGGGGAGAGGGGAAGGAAGAAGGAGAGAACUGGAGGACUGUCGACACUGGGGAGAGGGGAAGGAAGAAGGAGAGAACUGGAGGACUGUCGACACUGGGGAGAGGGGAAGGAAGAAAAAGAGAACUGGAGCAGUGAGUAGGAGCAUCUUACCUCUUAUUAAUGGGCUUCUCAUCCUUCUCGUAGGGCUUGACGAACCACUUGCCAAUGCGUACGAAGCUGCGGUUCAUGAGACAGCGCUCCAGCAGGUUGUGGAUGGCUUUGAACAGGAGCGUCCUGCACUCAUAGGACAGGCCGCUCUCCCACACACCGUCCUCCUCAGCUAGAUAGACAGACGGACGGAGAAAGACAGGAUGACAUCAUGUGACUAGUGAGGUCUGGCCGCCCUGACAACCUACCCGCUCGACCCCAGCCCCUCCUCCCUUCUCCAGACCUCUCUGGAGACCUUCUCCCAUUCCUCAUCACCUCAUCCUUGACCACUGGCUGUGUCCCCUCUGACCCAAGUUGCUCCCCUCCUCAAGAAAUCAACACUCAACUCAUCUGAGAUCUAUCCGCUGCCUUUGACGCUGUGAACCAUCAGAUUCUCCUCUCCACCCUCUCAGGGCUGGGUGUCUCAGGCUCUGCCCACUCUUGGGAUGCAUCCCAUCUGGCAGGCCGCUCCUACCAGGUGGCGACACGCAUCUCUAUCUCAACUUGGAUGUCGACCCACCACCUCAAGCUUAACCUCAACGGAACUGCUCUUUCUCCCAGGGAAGGCCUGCCCGCUCAAAGACCUCUCCAUCAUGGUUAACAACUCCAGAGUGUCGCCCUCCCAGAGUGCAAAGACCCUUAGAGUUACCCUGGAUAACACCCUAUCAUUCUCUCCAAACAUCAAAGCAGUGACCCGCUCCUGCAGGUUCAUGCUCUACAACAUCCGUAGAGUACGACCCUACCUCACACAGGAAGAGGCAAGAUCCUAAUCCAGGCCCUUAUCUUCUCCCGUCUGGACUACUGCAACUCGCUGUUGGCUGGGCCCCCCACUUGUGCCAUCAAACCCCUGCAACUUAUCCAGAACGCUGAAGCCCGCCUGGUUUUCAACCUUCCCAAGUUCUCUCAUGACACCCCGCUCCUCUGCACACUCCACUGGCUUCCAGUCAAAGCUCACAUCCACUACAAGACCAUGGUGCUUACCUACAGAAAAGCAAGAGGAACUGCCCCUCCCUACCUUCAGGCUAACCCUACACCCCCACCCGAGCACGCCAUCUGCCACCUCAGGUCUCUUGGCCCUCCCACCUCUACAGGAGGGCAGCUCCGGCUCAGCCCAGUCCAAUCUCUUCUCUGUCCUGACACCACUAUGGGAGGGCAGCUCGCGCUCAGCCCAGUCCAAGCUCUUCUCUGUCCUGUCACCUAUAUAGGAGGGCAACUCCCGCUCAGCCCAGUCCAAGCUCUUCUCUGUCCUGACACCCCUAUGGUGUAACCAGCUUCCCCUUGAAGCUAAGACAGCAGAGUCCCUGCCCAUCUUCCAAAAACAUCUGAAACUCUGAAACAUCAAACACCCCCUUCUAGCUUAGACUCUACUGAAAAAAUGUACUUUCUAUGCCUGUGAUAUGUUUGUCCCACUUAUCUUAUCCCAGCUAUCUUAAGAUGAAUACACUAACUGCAAACACACACACACACACACACACAGGUGUUUGUGGGCCCAUUCCAGCAGUGUUUGUUUAUGCUAAGAGGUGAAUGUAAGAGGGCAUGGUUUUGGAGGUGGUCAGUCCCUCCAGUCACAGGUGUCUAUGCUCUGGUAAUUAAAGCUGCAGUCGGUAGCUCA